GGCUUUUAACCCGUGUAUAUCACAAGAUUUUCCUUCAAUUUUGUUUAACAGGUCAGACUCAGGAAGAAUCGGGAUAUGACCUGACCAGCCACAGCAGGCAGUCAAACAUCUUCCACCAUGGAAGAGGGAGUGAUCUGAAUCACCAGGAAACCUGGGUCACAUCUGACAAUCAGUUGUCAUCUGCGUGUAGGAAAGAAUUACAUCCACUGGUACCAAUUUCGAGAGGGACAGAUCCCAGGACGCCUUCUCUACGAGGCCUUCUCCCAAUCCAAAGCUGUGUUGGAUUCAGAACUCAGACCAGGGAAAUACAAUGCUUAUCAAAUCAGCAAGCAGAGCAAUAAAUUUGUAGUACUGAAUGUGGAAGAAAGUGAUUCUGGUGUGUACCUCUGUGCCGUCUGGGCAGGCACCUGCUCUAUGCUACACUGAGAAGUUUGCUUGUGGCUGCUUCUGGUACACAGGAUAGACCAACCCC
rnacentral:lncRNA from 1 species